AACGGCCGCGGUAUCCUAACCGUGCAAAGGUAGCAUAAUAACUUGCCUAUUAAUUGUAGGCUAGUAUGAAAGGGUUAACGAAAUAAAAACUGUCUCAAUUAACCAUCUAAAAACUAUUCUCCACUUGAAGAAAAGUGGAUCCUCUCGAAGGACAAGAAGACCCUAUAGAGCUUUAUUUUAAUUAUAGAUCUCAAACUAUAAAAAUAUUCGGUUGGGGCGACCCAGGGCUAAUUAAUCACCCACAAAAAUAAAGAUAAAUAAAUCAAAUUAAUGACCCUCAUAGAUCAAAAGACUAAGCUACCUUAGGGAUAACAGGCUAAUCCCACUUAAGAGUCCUUAUCAACAGUGGGGUUUGGCACCUCGAUGUUGGCUUAGG
rnacentral:rRNA from 1 species